GCCAGAAGAGAUCCAAACUCAUUAAGAGAAACCUCUUUCUAACAGUUAUUGAAACUGGUGAAAGCAAGGGGCUUAUCCAGCCCAGCCUCUCCCCCGGUCCUACAGCUCCAAAGGCUCAGUGACCUCAGCUACUGUCCUCGCUGCUCAGGGGCCUGCAGCCCUUCUACUGCUCAGACAUGCUCCUGCUGCUCAUCCCAGUGCUGGAGACGAUUUUUGCCCUGAGAGGAGCCAACGCCCAGUUAGUGACCCAGCAGGACCGCCAUGUCACUGUCACUGAAGGAGCCUCACUAGAGCUGAAGUGCAACUAUACAUAUUCUAGUUCACCAUAUCUCUUCUGGUACGUGCAGUACCCCAACCAAGGACUCCAGUUUCUCCUCAACUACUUUUCAGGGGACACCCUGGUUAAAGGCAUCAAAGAUUUUGAGGCUGAAUUUAGGAAGGAUGAAACUUCCUUCCACCUAAAGAAAUCUUCAGCUAGUUGGAGAGACUCAGCUGUGUACUUCUGUGCGAUAAGUGACACAGUGACUGAGACUGCAGGGGGAGCUGAGCACAAACCUUCUGAGACACCGGGACUUGCUGUGACUCAAGAACUGAGCCUGGGGAGUUUUUAA